UCAGACGUGAGCUCUUCCAAUUUGAAGAUUUUCAGCAAUUUUUCGCUGGCUAAGACCAGCCUCAGAUUACCCAGCGAUACGACCUCUUUGAACAUCUGACAGUUCUGUUGAAUUUUUUGUGUGUGGCUUGGUUACUCUUCGCAAAUGUUUAAAAUAAUGGCACCUGGAAUGAAAAAGAAUAAUUACAUUGUAAAUUCUACACCGCUGAAAAUAUA